UUUCCGUAGGUGAACCUGCGGAAGGGUCAUUACUGAGUGAGGGCCCCUCGGGGUCCAACCUCCCACCCGUGUUUAACGAACCUUGUUGCUUCGGCGGGCCCGCCUCACGGCCGCCGGGGGGCAUCUGCCCCCGGGCCCGCGCCCGCCGAAGCCACCUGUGAACGCUGUCUGAAGUAUGCAGUCUGAGACAAUUAUUAAAUUAAUUAGAACUUUCAACAACGGAUCUCUUGGUUCCG
rnacentral:misc_RNA from 1 species